rnacentral:rRNA from 1 species
UACGUAGGGGGCAAGCGUUGUUCGGAAUUACUGGGUGUAAAGGGUUCGUAGGCGGUGUGGCAAGUCGGGAGUGAAAUCUCUGGGCUCAACCCAGAGUCUGCUUCCGAAACUGCUGUGCUUGAGUGUGGGAGAGGCGCGUGGAAUUGCAGGUGUAGCGGUGAAAUGCGUAGAUAUCUGCAGGAACACCCGUGGCGAAAGCGGCGCGCUGGACCACUACUGACGCUGAGGAACGAAAGCUAGGGGAGCAAACAGG